GCGUUCAUGGUCUAGGGGUUAUGAUACUUGCCUUCCAUUUUCCACACAGUGGAGCCAGCAAGUUGCCUGGGUUCGAGUCCCAGUGGACGCA